rnacentral:rRNA from 1 species
ACAGGCAUCCCCUAGUACGGCGAGUGAAGCGGGAACAGCUCAAAUUUGAAAUCUGGCCCUCGGGUCCGAGUUGUAAUUUGUAGAGGAUGCUUUUGGUGCGGUGCCUUCCGAGUUCCCUGGAACGGGACGCCUUAGAGGGUGAGAGCCCCGUACGGUUGGACGCCUAGCCUCUGUAAAGCUCCUUCGACGAGUCGAGUAGUUUGGGAAUGCUGCUCUAAAUGGGAGGUAUAUUUCUUCUAAAGCUAAAUACUGGCCAGAGACCGAUAGCGCACAAGUAGAGUGAUCGAAAGAUGAAAAGCACUUUGAAAAGAGGGUUAAAUAGCACGUGAAAUUGUUGAAAGGGAAGCGUUUAUCACCAGACUUUUUCUAGGGGGAUCAUCCGGUGUUCUCACCGGUGCACUUCCCCUGGUUGAGGCCAGCAUCGGUUUUCGGAGGGGGAUAAAAGCUUCGGGAAUGUGACUCCCUCGGGAGUGUUAUAGCCCGUUGCAUAAUACCCUUCUGGGGACCGAGGUUCGCGCAUCUGCAAGGAUGCUGGCAUAAUGGUGAUCAACGACCCGUCUUGAAACACGGACCAAGGAGUCGAACAUUUAUGCGAGUGUUUGGGUGUCAAACCCUCACGCGUAAUGAAAGUGAACGGAGGUGAGAGCCCUUACGGGUGCAUCAUCGACCGAUCCUGAUGUCUUCGGAUGUAUUUGAGUAAGAGCAUAACUGUUCGGACCCGAAAGAUGGUGAACUAUGCGUGGAUAGGGUGAAGCCAGGAGAAAUCCUGGUGGAGGCUCGCAGCGGUUCUGACGUGCAAAUCGAUCGUCAAUCUGCGCAUGGGGCGAAAGACUAAUCGA